UACAGAGGGUGCAAGCGUUAAUCGGAAUUACUGGGCGUAAAGCGUGCGCAGGCGGCGCGAUAAGACAGGUGUGAAAGCCCCGAGCUUAACUUGGGAAUUGCGCUUGUGACUGGCGUGCUGGAGUGUGGCAGAGGGAGGUGGAAUUCCACGUGUAGCAGUGAGAUGCGUAGAGAUGUGGAAGAACACCGGUGGCGAAGGCGGGUCUCUGGGCAACAACUGACGCUGAGGAGCGAAAGCGUGGGGAGCGAACAGG
rnacentral:rRNA from 1 species